AUUGAACGCUGGCGGCAUGCUUUACACAUGCAAGUCGAACGGCAGCGGGGGCUUCGGCCCGCCGGCGAGUGGCGAACGGGUGAGUAAUGCAUCGGAACGUGCCCAGUCGUGGGGGAUAACACAUCGAAAGAUGUGCUAAUACCGCAUACGUCCUGAGGGAGAAAGCGGGGGAUCUUCGGACCUCGCGCGAUUGGAGCGGCCGAUGUCGGAUUAGCUAGUUGGUGGGUAAAAGCCCACCAAGGCGACGAUCCGUAGCGGGUCUGAGAGGAUGAUCCGCCACACUGGGACUGAGACACGGCCCAGACUCCUACGGGAGGCAGCAGUGGGGAAUUUUGGACAAUGGGGGCAACCCUGAUCCAGCCAUGCCGCGUGAGUGAUGAAGGCCCUAGGGUUGUAAAGCUCUUUCAGCUGGGAAGAUAAUGACGGUACCAGCAGAAGAAGCCCCGGCUAACUCCGUG
rnacentral:rRNA from 1 species